CGCUCUGCCUGGGUAGAUGCGCGUGCACGCAGCAACGUCCCGUCGUCCUGGGAGGGUUGAAACCUGAAUCCUCCACUGCAGAAUGAGGGCAAUGAACCUUCCAGGCUAUCUGUUAGGAACCGCCCUCCCUACAAUCACAAGGUCAUGAAAGACUUUCAGGACACCGACUAAACAUGUUAGAAAACUUGGCAAGUAACAGAGCUUAACUCUGAAUAAAUUAAUCAAGAAAAGGAAGUAUCUAAGAUAUUGCAUAAUUUGGAGAUAAAAGAAAAACAUCUGGAACUCCAUUUCCAAACAGAGAUGAAUAGUAAAAAAAAAGGAAAAAAGACCAAAACCCAAAGUUAUUAAUAAAGGUAAACAGACCUUCAAUGUGAUGAUUUUUAUGCUAAACUUAAAAUAAAUAUGAACCAAUUCUAUGCUAAACAUACCAUAAAACUUAUAGGAAAAAGCUAGGUCAAUUUUUGCUUUGAUUUUCACUGGGAAAAUACUAUUUUAGAAGAUAACUGUAUACACUAUAGUGUGCAAGGACACAGGGUCAAACCUCUAGACCCCACCUGCAUGGGGAAAGCUUCACGAGUGGUAAAGCAGGACUACAGAUGCCUCUCUGUCUCUUUCCUUCUCUAUCUUCCCCUCUCAAUUUCUCACUGACUCUAUUUAAUAAUAAAUAAAUAAAUAAAUAAAUAAAUAAAUAAAUAAAUGAGAAGAAAAAAAGAAGAAGACAUUUGUCUCAGUGGUACACUAUCACAUCUUCCCAAAAGAUGUGUUAGCACAACUCACCCACUAGCAAUGUGUCGUUUCCCUACACCGCAGGCCUCAGUGUCCCUGUCCUUAUCCCAUACCCCCGGAACCUCCCUCCUCUUCUCUCAUUAGUGUCCUCUGGCACAAAUAGACCUCACUCAGAAAUCACAUUGAGGAGUUUCUAAACCUCUUUUCAGCUCGACUCUGUGUUAUCAAGGGGAAGAGAGAAAAAUCAGGUGACUCUAGGUCAGCAGUUGCUGAGGUAAGAGAAGAGUCACUUGUUUUCUUCCACUGAAGCCUUUGGAGAGUCCUCCUUCAGGAAACAGUGGGGGAAAAUCAAUGCCAGAUGGCUCUCAAGGAGCUGCUGCUAAUGACUCUGCUGUUUUUAAACCCCCUGGAGGAGGAGGGGCAGGGCUAUCUUCACAACUAAUCAAUACAGCACUGUAGCACUGCAGACAUGAGAGCUGACUCACUGACCUCCAUCACAGAGGGAGUUGCCUUACUCAGCCUCAGCCUGUGGGUCCUUGCAAAGAUUAUUUCUCCUGGUGCUGGUGAACUAUGUCUUGGUUCAGACAGAGCAGCAGCAAACCCUCCCCUUCCACUUUUUAUUGUUGUUAUAAUUCUAUUUCAAUCAAUUCAAUGAAAUUCAUAAAUAAUGGUAAGCUCUUCUUACUAGCAACUACUGGAUGCAGUAAAGUGUGAAAUACCUUCUUACAUAACUUAAUUCUUGGAUGGUUGUGACUGUUACUAUAUGAAGUUAAAUAACUAAUAGGAGGCCAUGUAGUUUAUGAGCGGUAGAGUGGGAAUGGUGACGUGGGAUUAUAAUAUAGCAAAGUUUCAACUUUUAUGUCAAUACUGAAAGAGCACUUCUGAUUCAAACCCACACAGACUGACAUGACUCCCAUAUAUAAGUGAGCAAAAGGCAGAGAAGGAACAGGAAAAAAAAUUGUUCUUGUUUAUUCGCGACAUCCAGUUGUGCCUCUGUCCUUAUAUUCGGUCACAUGUCCUCCCUUUUGCUUAAGACAGCUCUAGUUGACUCUUGUCAUCUGCCAGCAAAAUUGUGUAAACCAAUACUUGACAAAAGUAAGUGAAUAAGCAUUGUCCUAAUUGUCUGUCUCAUAAGAAUAUUUAUAGGUCUGGAGAAUACAUGAGGGAGAGGGUACUGCCAUCUGUUACCAGAAAAGACAACCCAACUCAGAUAAUCAUAACCAUUAAGAAGAAUGACAGGGCUCUCUGCUAGGUGAGCGCCCUGUCAAUAUCCAUCAAGUCCCAGAUGCUGCGAUGACCCCAUUCUGACCUGCCUGCACAGAUGAUUACAUGAAGUGUCCAGAAACCUCAUCUCUCAGGAGCCUUACUCUACUAGGGAAAGAUUAGGGGCAGAACUGGUCUGUCUGGGAGUAGGGAUAGACCAGACUACAGCCCAUGUAUCAGCAGGAAACAGUUACAGAAGCAUGCAACUUUGACCCAGUGAAUAUUGGGUCCAUACUCCUAGAGGAGGAAAUGCUGAGAGACAGGAAGUAAGUACCUGAGGGAAAGAAACCGCUGUCCAGGAAAUGGAGGUGGUGACAGGUGUGGUUUAGGAAGGUGAAGGCGGGGCUUGAGUGUUAUAAACUAGACUUGUGGGUGUGGCUUCACUCUCUAAGGGUGAGCGCCUUGUCAACUGGUGAGUAAGAGCGCUGAGAGGCUUCUCUUUGUCACUCUGCUAGGUGAGUGCCCGUCAAGAUGCGAGUAAGGCGGCUUCUGUCUAUCUUUCUCUCUCUUCCUCCCUCUCUCAAUUGAGUAUUCUCAAUUUUCUUGAAUAAAGUUUAAAAUCUCUGAAAAAACAAACAAACAAAAAAAGAAUGACCGGAUAAAACAUCUGUCCAUAAGCAGGACAUGCAGGUUUCUCAGCUCUCUUAAUCAAGGAAUCCCAGCACCAUUUCUUUUUGUACAACUUCCUCCAUACCCAUCUCCUCCAUAGACAAACUGAGAACUGCUGCCCAAGGAAACUUGCUUAUUAUUCCCAACACAGCUACCAGUGGUACAUUUUUCACUAGUUUCUUAGUGAGAGAGA